GACGAACGCUGGCGGCGUGCUUAACACAUGCAAGUCGAACGGAAAGGCCCCUUUGGGGGUACUCGAGUGGCGAACGGGUGAGUAACACGUGAGUAACCUGCCCUUUACUUCGGGAUAACUUCAGGAAACUGGGGCUAAUACCGGAUAGGAAUCCUUGCUGCAUGGUGGGGGUUGGAAAGCUUCGGGGGUUUUGGAUGGACUCGCGGCUUAUCGGCUUGUUGGUGGGGUAGUGGCUUACCAAGGCUUUGACGGGUAGCCGGCCUGAGAGUGCGACCGGCCACAUUGGGACUGAGAUACGGCCCAGACGCCUACGGGAGGAAGCAGUGGGGAAUAUUGCACAAGGGGCGGAAGCCUGAUGCAGCAACGCCGCGUGCGGGAUGACGGCCUUCGGGUUGUAAACCGCUUUCAGCAGGGGCGAAGCUUGUGGUGACGGUACCUGCAGAAGAAGCACCGGCUAACUACGUG
rnacentral:rRNA from 1 species